CCCGCCACUAUGCCGGUCUGUAACGUGGCCGGGCGUAUUCCAGUGGAGGCUCAGAGAAACCCGGCUUUAGGAAACAGAGCGGUCCAGACCCGUGGACUCCCCUGUGCCGUAAAGACUGGAACACAA